UAGGGGGCAAGCGUUAUCCGGAUUUACUGGGUGUAAAGGGAGCGUAGACGGCUGUGCAAGUCUGAAGUCAAAGGCAUGGGCUCAACCUGUGGACUGCUUUGGAAACUGUGCAGCUAGAGUGUCGGAGAGGCAAGUGGAAUUCCUAGUGUAGCGGUGAAAUGCGUAGAUAUUAGGAGGAACACCAGUGGCGAAGGCGGCUUGCUGGACGAUGACUGACGUUGAGGCUCGAAAGCGUGGGGAGCAAA
rnacentral:rRNA from 1 species